rnacentral:rRNA from 1 species
CGGCCUAUCAGCUUGUUAGUGAGGUAAUGGCUCACCAAGGCGACGACGGGUAGCCGGCCUGAGAGGGCGACCGGCCACACUGGGACUGAGACACGGCCCAGACUCCUACGGGAGGCAGCAGUGGGGAAUAUUGCACAAUGGGCGAAAGCCUGAUGCAGCGACGCCGCGUGAGGGAUGACGGCCUUCGGGUUGUAAACCUCUUUCAGCAGGGAAGAAGCGAAAGUGACGGUACCUGCAGAAGAAGCGCCGGCUAACUACGUGCCAGCAGCCGCGGUAAUACGUAGGGCGCGAGCGUUGUCCGGAAUUAUUGGGCGUAAAGAGCUCGUAGGCGGCUUGUCACGUCGGUUGUGAAAGCCCGGGGCUUAACCCCGGGUCUGCAGUCGAUACGGGCAGGCUAGAGUUCGGUAGGGGAGAUCGGAAUUCCUGGUGUAGCGGUGAAAUGCGCAGAUAUCAGGAGGAACACCGGUGGCGAAGGCGGAUCUCUGGGCCGAUACUGACGCUGAGGAGCGAAAGCGUGGGGAGCGAACAGGAUUAGAUACCCUGGUAGUCCACGCCGUAAACGGUGGGCACUAGGUGUGGGCGACAUUCCACGUCGUCCGUGCCGCAGCUAACGCAUUAAGUGCCCCGCCUGGGGGAGUACGG